UCUGCUUGUGCUGCAGCCUGGUGCAGGGAGCUGAGAGGUGCUGUAAGGGUCCCUGCUGUCUUCAGGAUUACAGCUUCAGAGGGCAGCAGAAGGAUGUGAUAGAAUAGCAGGAACCCAAAUGCCACCUCAAUAUUCAAGCCACUCGUUCCUGCACGAAGCAGCACGCUCCCUUUGGAGCCGUUCCUGGCAGGGGGAUCGCGCUGUGGAAGCGUUUGUUCUGGGAAAGCAGCGGCACAAAUGUGGAAAAGAUUAAAGCGGAGGCUUUUACGUCAAAAUCA